GUGCCAGCCGCCGCGGUAAUACCGGCAGCCCGAGUGAUGGCCGAUCUUAUUGGGCCUAAAGCGUCCGUAGCUGGCCGACCAAGUCUCCCGGGAAAUCCACCCGCCCAACGGGUGGGCGUCCGGUAGAAACUGGCCGGCUUGGAACCGGAAGGCUCAGAGAGUACGUCCGGGGUAGGAGUGAAAUCCCAUAAUCCCGCACGGACCACCGAUGGCGAAAGCACUUCGAGAAAACGGAUCCGACAGUGAGGGACGAAAGCCAGGGUCUCCAACCGGAUUAGAUACCCGGGUAGUCC
rnacentral:rRNA from 1 species